UUUUCUUUUCAGUGAAAAUGUAGAAUGUUUGACUUUUCAUGAAUAGCUCCUUCCCUCGGAAAUGUCAGCCUUUCAUACAAAUACACAGAAGUUGAAAUUCAUUAUUCAUUUAUCAAAGGAAGUGCCAAGCGUAAAAAUGAAUCAGUGAAACUCAAUCCAAAGGCUGCUUCAGGGAUGUGCUCACCUCCUCAGUCCUACUUCUGGCUUCACUAAGAUGGAUCAGAGGUCUCUGAUAGAUCUUUUCUGGAGGUGGCUGAGACCUGAUAUGUUUCAAGAAUCCACUAAACAGGGAUGAUUUGCUGAACAAAUACUACAGAUUAAGCAGACCUCAAUUUUCAAGGAGUAUGCUUGCAACUGAAAGCGUUGUGACUUUGACAUGAAUUUCAGG